rnacentral:misc_RNA from 1 species
CUCACCAGCGACCAGUUCAGAAAAUCGGCUUUCGGAUUAUUGGCGUAACGGUUGGUGUCGAAGAUGUCGGUGACGGCGAAGCGGCCCGCCGUGAUGACCAGCCGAUCCGUUGAGCGCGUGCCCUUGAAUUGGAAGAAAUCGUCGUCGACGUUCUCGGUGUCGCCGCCGAGAUUGAUGGUCUGGCGCAGAAAGGCGCGAUGCAGGCGCGCAUAGGGC